rnacentral:misc_RNA from 1 species
GGAAUGCAAGAAUAAUGCAUCGAGUAGUUGGGCAUAAAGGAGGGGUUUUGAUGGAUCAGGAAACAGUGUAUGGGAUGGGCGACGAAGUAGAAAAUGAAGAUUUUGGGUUCCUUGGGAAGGAUAGUGGAGAUCUGCAACAUUCAGUUUUGCAGCAAAUGCAGGAAGCAAGGAAUGAGAUUGCACUGCUUGAGGGCCAGAUUGGGAAAGUUCCUCAUGAGUUAUUGUGCUCGGUGUCUCGUGAAUUGUUUGAUUUUGCGAAUAAGCUUAGGAAUGUGAGAGAAUAUGGAUCAAAGUCAGUUGGGUUGCUCUCAGAUAAGCCGACCUCGGAUGAUCUAUUGGUCGGGGAAAAUGAUUUGGCAGAUUGGGGUGU